AUUUUUCAUUUUAAAACAAAAGAAGAGGGGCUCUGCUAGGGUUUUCCUUAACCCAGGCCAUCCCCAAGCCGCCGCCUCCUCCACGGCAGAUCUGAGGUCCCUCCGACUUCGACGGCGAUGUGAUGGCACUCCGACGACACCCCCAACGGUAAGUUUCUCUUCUUUCCUCUCUUCUUUGUUAUUUUUAUAACAGAAAAUAAAAAAAGAAAAAGAACAACAAUCCCACAGAUUCUAAAAGAAACGAGAUACCUUCAAAAAUAUUUUUUUUGCUUUUCUGCUUCUUUCCCUUUUGUAUUUUCUUUGAUGUUUUUCAAUACAGAAUUUUUCUCCCCUUGAUAUAAUUUUCGUAUCCCCCUUUUGCUCAUUUCCUUUUCCCUUAUAUUCUACCCUUAUCUUUUUAUUGCUAUCCCCUCAAACACUAUUUGUUUGCUGUUUUAAUCUGUUUUUUCGCAGGUGCAGAGGUCGUGGAAGAGGCAUGCGACGUGGAGGCUUGCACAACUUGCGUGGAAAGUGACAACCGCUGGCACACACGCGCGGUGAGGACCCGAUCAUUGCGGCGCGACUGAAACUGCACUAGGGCUUCUCUAUCCUUCCUCUGCUAUUGAUUUCAAGCUAUUGUUUGGGCUCAUUUAGUAAUGGGCUGUUAAUUAUUUGUUUUUGUUUUAGCCAGGCCAAAAUUGGCCUAUUACAGCUUUGGUUGAAAACCGAAGUGAAUGCAAGAUACCAUAGAACAGAGUACACAUUUGAAGAAUUUAACAAAUUCUAUGAAGAUGUAGGCAUUGGUCAUCACCUCACUGCACCGUACACUCCACAAAAAAUAGGGUCGUGGAGAGAAAAAAAAAGAACCAUAUUGGAGAUGACAAGAUGCAUUUUACAUGAGAAAGGGUUGCUAAAGAAUUUCAAGGCUGAAGCGGCAAAUACAACAAUAUAUCUACUAAAUAGAUUGCCAACAAAAGCAUUAAAGAAGCAAACACCAUUUAAAGUCUGAUUUGGUUAUAAAUCUUUGCUAAUGAGUUUAAAGACAUUUGGUUGUUUGUGUGUUUUUUUAUGUACCUCAUAUGAAAAGAGACAUGCUGGAUAAAAAUUCAGAACCAGAGGUCUUUAUUAGAUAUAGCAACACUUCAAAAACUUAUAGCAUCUACUUGCCACAUACUAAUAAAAUUGUUGUCAACAUGCAUGUCAAGUUUUUGGGAAAAGAGAAGUGGGUUAGAAUGAGUUGUGUCAGCAGUAUUUUGAUGAAGUCAUUGAUGAUCUCUUAGUUAGAGACAUAAGGACACUUUCUGAUAUUUAUCAGAGGUGAUAUGUAGUUGUUUUUGAACCAGUCAGUUUUGUUGAAGAUGUUGAACAUGAAAAAUGGAGGGUUACGAUGCAGAAGGAGUUGAAUAUGAUUGAGAAAAAUGGUACUUAGGAGCUAGUGGAUAGAUCUUCCCACAAUAAACCUAUUGGGGUUAAAUGGGUUUACAAAACCAAAUUCAACUCUGACAGUUUUGUAAACAAGUGUAAGGUGAAGAUGGUCAUGAAAGGAUAUACAUAAAUGUUUGGCAUAGAUUUUUCAAAUACAUUCACACUAGUAGCUUUUUCGGAUAUCACAAGAAUGUUGCUAGCUCUUUUAGCUCAAAAAGGAUGGAGGAUUUAUUAACUAGACAUCAAGUCAGCUUUUUUGAAUGGCAACUUGAAGGAAGAGAUUUUUGUCGAGAAAUCUGACAGUUUUGUUGCGAAAGGGAAAGAAGAUAAAUUAUAUCUCCUUAAAAAGGCCUUGUAUGGUUUAAAACAAGUUCCCAAAGCCUAGUAUAACAAGAUUGACAUUUGCUAACCUUGGCCUUUCAGAAGAGUUUGAGUGAAUUUACACUCUAUGUUAAAAAGGAUGAAAGAGAUUUAUUAAUUGUGUCCUUAUAUGUUGAUAAUUUGCUUGUGUUAGGGAGCAAUGUAGAGUUGGUGAAUAAGUUCAAAGCUGAAGUAAAGCAAGCUUUCAAGAUGAUCGAUCUUGGUGAGAUGAC
rnacentral:lncRNA from 1 species